rnacentral:lncRNA from 1 species
GGGACUAAACCAAGCUCACACAAAAAUUUUCAAAACUUAAACAUUUUUCAAAGUCAUAAAGGUCACAUGCCCGUGUGAGCAGGCCGUGUGCCUCACACAGCAUUAGAAACGCCCGUGUGUUUAGGCCGUGGCAAAACAAGGCAUACAACUGACUUGUCCACACGGCCACAAGACACACCCGUGUGCCAGGCCAUGUGAAAAU